UUUUUGAUACUAUAGUAAAUAUUUUAUUUCAAUUUCCAGGUGGUUAUUGCUAGUAUGCAGAAAAUAUUUUUUUGCAUUAACCUAUGCUAAAGUCACUUACUAUUUUGAUUUGCCUUUCAUAAAGAUUCCUUAAACGUUUCUACAUACACAAUCAUGUCAUCUGCAGAUAGACAGUUUUAUUUCUUCUUUUCAAUCUGUAUGGUUUUCUUUGCCUUUUUCUUGCCUAUUGUACUGGCCAGGACUUCCAGUGUAAUGUUUAAUAGAAAUCCUGAGACUGGACAUCCUUGCCUUAUUUUCAAUCUGAGGAGAAAGCAUUCAGUUGUUCAUCAUUAACAGACAAUGUUAGCUGAAGGUUUUUCAGAGCUUGUGUACUCUACCAGGAUGAAGAAGGUCCCUUCUAUUUCCAGUUUGCUAAGAGUUUUAAAAUUGUGAAUGGAUGGCGAAUUUUGUUAUUUUUCUGCAUCUAAUAAGAGAAUCAUAUAUGGUUUUUCUCCUUUGUUCUGUUAAGAUGGUAGGUAUGUUGAUUUUUUUAGUGUUAAACCAAGCUUGCAUUCUUGGGAUAAACCCCACUUAGUCAUGAUGCAUUAUCCUUGUUAUAUAUUGCUGAAUUCAAUUUGCCAAAAAUUUAACUAAGGAUGUUUGCAUCUGUAUUCAGUGAGGUAUACUGUAUUCAGUGAGGUAUUCCUUUCAAUGUCAUUGUCUGGGCUCAGACAAUGACUAGAAAAGUCAUCUUUCUUUAUUUUUAGAAUGAGUUUGUGGGUGUUUGUUAUUAUUUUUUCCUUAAAUAUUUGAUAGAAUUUACUGCUGAAGCCACCUCAGUCUGAAGUUUCUUUGCAGGAAGUUUUAAUUCAUAAUUAAAUUUCCUUAGCAUAUAUAGGGCUUUUUUCUUUUUUCUUUUUUUGAGACAGAGUGUCACAGUGUCUCCCGGGCUGGAGUGCAAUGGUGCGAUCUCAGCUCACUGCAGCCUUUGCCUCCCGGGUUCAAGCAAUUCUCCUGCGUCAACCUCCCAAGUAGCUGGGAUUACAGGCGCCUACCACCAUGCCCAGCUAAUUUUUUGUAUUUUCAGUAGAGACAGGCUGGUCCCAAACUCCUGAGAUGAGGAUAAUUUUUUGUAUUUUUAGUAGAGACGGGGUUUCACUAUGUUGGCCAGGCUGGUCUCAAACUCCUGACCUCGUAAUUCACCCACCUCGGCCUCCCAACGUGCUGGGAUUACAAGUGUGAGCCACCGUGCCUGGCCUUCUUUCUAUAGUUUCUUGAAUCACUAUGGUUAAUCUGUGGCAUUCAACCGAUUUGUCCAUUUUAUCUAUGCCAUUAAAUUUAUUUACAUAAUUAUAAUCUUUUUUUGUUUUAAUGUCUGCAAGAUCUGUGGUGAUAUCUAUUUCAUUCCUAAUGUUGGUAAUUUUUUCUUUUCCUGCUUGCUCUUAUUGUUUGUUUGUUUGUUUGUUUGUUUGUUUGUUUUGAGACAGGUUCUCAUUCUGUCACCCAGAUCAGGCUGGAAUACAGUAGCGAUCAUAACUCACUCAGCCCCAAACUCCUGGUCUCAGGCAGUCCUCCUGCCUCAGCCUUUCAAAUUGUUGGGAUUACAGGCAUGAGCCACUGUGUUCAGCCUCUUUUAAUUCCUAUAUGUAUUAGCCAGUUGAGGUGGCUUGCUUGAACCCAAGAGUUCUGGGCAACACAGCAAGACCUCAUCUCUACAAAUAAUUUUAAAAAUUAGCUGGGGCAUGGUGGCGCACACCUGUGGUCUCAGCUACUUGAGAGGCUGAGACAGGUGGAUCACUUGAGCCCAGGCAGUCAAGGCUUCGGUGAGCCGUGAUCCCGCCACUGCACUCCGGCCCAGGUGACACUGUGAGACUCUGUCUCAAAAAAAUAAACUAUAGAAAAUCUGAGUAGCCCUAUAUAUAGUAAGGAAAUUUAAUUAUCAAUUAAAUUGUCACCUGGGUAACAGAGUGAGACCACGUCUCAAGGGAAGGGGAGGGGAGGGGAGGGUCUUGUAUUUAUUAUUUCCUUCCUUUUACUUUGUUUUACUUUGGUUUAAUUUGGUUUACAUUGGUUUAAUUUGUUCUUCUUUUACUAUUUUUUUUCUACUGAAUCAUCAUUAUUGUUCUACCACUCAAAUCACUGCAUUGCUGUUGCUAAAUGACCAAUAGACCAACAGAUCCUUGCAUAGAAACAAAAAAAAAGCCCUUGCUUUUCAAUAUUACCAAAGGGAAAUGUAUAGUCAGAACUGCAAGAAAACUGCCUUGUGAUCCGGCUUCUGUCACAUUUUAGUUUACAAUACAGGAGCAUAAAGUAGCUACUCAACUACCUCAAAAAUAAGAGAAUCAUUUACCUUUCUGUAUAUAACCUAAUUAAAACCAUGUCAGAUCCAGCAAAACUGAUUUUCAUCUCUCCUCAGUAGAUAUAGGAGUAUAUAUUGAUAUUUCUACUUCAUGACUAGAUAGGGGACUAAAUUAAAAUUCGCUACUCAGUUCUCAGUUGUAAGGCCCACAGUUGCACAUGGGUAGGUGGGUAGUUGCACAUGCACAGAGUUGGUGGUCACAACUCUGCUUUCUUGCCCUUCUGCUUAAAAUGGAGCUAUUUAAUCUUAUUUAUUUAUUUAUUUAGAAAUAGGGUCUGCUCUGUCACCUUGGCUGGAGUGCAGUGGCACAAUCAUGGCUCACUGCAGCCUAGAACUCCUGGGCUCAAGUGAUGUUCCCACCUUAGCCUCCUGAGUAGCUGGGACUAUAGACACACACAACCACGUUCUGCCAAUUUUGAAAUUUUUUGUAGAAAUGAGGUCUCCUUAUGUUGCCCAGGCUGGUCUUGAACUGCUGGCCUCAAACAGUCCUCCCACCUCAGCCUCCCACGUGCUAGGAUUACAGGCAAGAGCCACAGCGCCAGGCUGGAACUAUGUAAGACAGCACUUAGCCCUGCAUGUAUGUGUUACUAACAAUGGUUGUGUAGAUCACUCCUCCAAAGGGAAAGUCUCUCUAGAUGGGUUUUUGCCCCAGUUAAGCAAUAGCUUCCUCCAAACGGUGCUCACCUAUCCAUUGACUGCGAUAUUUGAAGACAAAGUGAGUCUUCACUCACCAUCACCAUUCCCCAUGUCCCCUUUCCCUGGGAGCGCACACACAUAGGAGGGCAGUGCUGCUUCCUCCACAGCAGUGACAGCCGGCCAGGAUUUAUGAAAUGUCUCUCAAGGAAAUGUGCUCUCUUCCAUGCUCAGAGACGCCACGUGGUCACAGUGCAGUCUUCAUGCAGUUGUAGCUUAGACUUCCAGAUUCAAAGGUCAGAAACCAGCUUGGAAUUUUCCUGAUCCUAACUCAAACCUGGCAUAAGUCAAAGUUUAAAUCCAACAGGUUCCAAAGGAAAUCAGAUUAAACACAUGUGCUGCUUGGUCAUGCAAGGACCCUGGAGUAGAAAAGUAGGUAUUGCCGUCUUGGUCAUGAAAGCUACAACAUCACCUGCAAGAGGACAGGCACUUAGAUCUGUUCACUGCUGUGCCCUCAACUCCUGGAAUAGGACCUGGUGCAGAGUGUGAUCAGAAAGUAUUUAUUGAGUGUCAGGUACAGUGGCUCAUGCCUGUAAUCCUAACACAUUGGAAGACCAAGGUGGGAGGAUCACUUGAGCCCAGGAGUUUGAGACCAGCCUGGGUGACACAGGGAGACCCUAUCUCUAUAAAAAAUAAACUUAAAAAAAAAAUUGGGCCGGGCACAAUGGCUCACGCCUGUAAUCCCAGCUCUUUGGGAAACUGAAGCGGAUGGAUCAUCUGAGGUGAGGAGUUCGAGACCAGCCUGGCCAACAUGGUGAAACCCCCAUCUCUACUAAAAAUACAAAAAUUAGCCGGGCAUGGUGGCGGGCACCUGUAAUCCCAGCUACUCGGGAGGCUGAGGCAGGAGAAUCACUUGAACCCAGGAGGUGGAGGUUGCAGUGAGGCGAGAUUGCACCACUGCACUCCAGCCUGGGCAACAGAGUGAGACUUGGUCUACACACUUUGUAAUCUAAAACAUUCUCUACCAAUACCUCAAUCAGUGAAUUCUUGCUUUAUUGAUACAUUCUAGUAUUCAGUUGUGAUUUUAAUAUGCUAUUUUGGUACUUUCUGCUUUCAGUUUUCAUUGCUGUGGCUAUUGCCUUAAACAGAAACAAAAAACUAAAACAAUUUUACAACCAUCCAAAAGAGGCUUGGAAACUUUUUUUUGGCUGGAUAUCCAUAGCACAAUUUAAUUCAGUAAACAUAAACAGUUAAAAUUAUUCCAGUACACAGCCAUGUUUUAAAAAAGAGAUUACACCCAAUUUUGGCAACAACACUCAGGAAAUAAGCAUUCUUUUACAUUUGGUUCAAACUUUCUGAAUGGCAGUUGUGCAACACUUGUUGUGAAAAACUUUAGAAUAUUAUAAACAUGUUAAUCCCGUAUUUCCAUUUCUGUGAAUUCAUCCAAAAGAAAUAACCAUGGAUAUGGGUAGAGACAGAGCCAUAUGGAAUGCACACCGCAGUGGUGAACACAUGGCCCAGCUCUGCCAUCAAGGAGAAGUUUUCUAUGAUGAAUGUUUCAUAAUCAGAAAACAAAAUUAAAUGUUUCCAGCCCCACAAAAAAUAACCAGUUUUUUACUUUUUUUUUUUUUCCGAGAUGAAGUCUCACUUUAUCUCCCAGGCUGGAGUGCAGUGGUGCAAUCACGACUCACUGCAACCUCCGCCUCCCAGGCUGAAGUGAUCCUCCCACCUCAGCCUCCUGAGUAGCUGAAACUGCAGGAAUGCACCACCAUGCCAGGCUAGUUUUUUUAUCUUUUUUGGUAGAGACGGUGUUUCAACAUGUUGCCCAGGCUGGUCUCAAACUCCUGGACUCAAGCAGUUCACCUGCCUCAGCCUCCCAAAGUGUUGGGAUUACAGGCAUGAGCCACUGUGCCCAGCCAUUUACUUUUAAUCUUAGUAAUUUAUACAGAACCAGUUGUCUGGUGUUGUGGUCUCUCCCUACUCUGAGUCGACUGGAUUGUGUAGAUUGGGCUUGGGCACAGUGGGUGGAGCCCAGAGCAAGGUGAACCACCUGGAGGCUCCCGUGCCUCAAUCCUGCAGCAGGCACAGGCACGGGACUUUGUUGACAGUGAAAAAGUGCUUGUUGCAGACAGCCUGAAACAGACGCAAACUCGGGGAAGUGACAGUUACAUGCGCAAAGAGACCUGAAGGAAUCUGUAAGUAUCACCAGCUAACAAGCGACACAGCUCUACCUGUACAUCCUACUUCAGUGCCUUAAUAUAAAGAAAACAAAUACUUCACAAUCAAAUAAUUUGCUGCAAUGUAAAGAAAUUUGUGAAAAUGGUAUAUACUAUGUGGAAUCUGUAUGUCCCCAGAGAUGAGACUGGAAAGACAGUUAUCAUGAAACCAGUCUUUGGCCUUUGGCGGUUUCCAGUUUUUCCGCACUUUCAAACACAAGUCCACGUGAGCCAGCCGCAGCAUUUCAGGAUCAUGUGAAAGGGAUCAUCAUCCCUGGACUCUAGGAAAUUGAGGUGUGGGAAAGGUGAAGGAACUGGCCCUAGGGUGUUGUAUGCAAGUUGGAAGCAAAGAGACAGCUAAGACCACAUCUCCUGAUUCCCAGUCCAAGGCACUUUUAAUGACCUACAAUGCCUGGAAGGAAAGGUGGUAAGAAAUGAUAGGAAAAAGCCUAAGAGCUAAGCUAAAGGAAAGAGGCUGGGAGCACUGACUCAUGCCUGUAAUCCUGGCAUUUUAGGAGGCAAGGCAGGAGGACGGCUUGAGCCUAGGAGUUUGAGGCUACAGAGAGCCAUGAUCGCACCACUGAACUCCAGCAUGGGCAACAGAACAAGACCCCAACUCUUAAAAAAAAAAAGUAAAAAGGAAUACUCUAUUGGGAUAAUGAUAAGGGUAAUUUUCCCAUUUCCUCAGCAUAGUGCCCUCUGAAGAUGUGUUCUACAAGAUGGGGGGCAGAGGCACAUACCCCAGGAUGAGAUGGCUUACUAGGAGGUAAAAUAAAAUCUUCUAUGGUUCAUUUUGUCGCAAAACAGGGAGAAUGGCUUGGUACCCUCACAUUGUACUACAUUAGACAGCCCAUGGAUCAGCAAUGAUCCAUGUGGUGCCCUGAAUUGGGUGUGAGGGCACCAUAGUGAGAAGGAUGUAGGGCCCACAUGCAUUAGUUUGCACAGACAGGGGUUUACAAGUACCUAAUUAACAUGAUUUUUUUUUUUUUUUAGUGAGACAGUCUCUCACUCUGUUGCCCAGGCUGGAGUGCAGUGGCGCAAUCUCGGCUCACUGCAAGCUCCGCCUCCUGGGUUCAAGCGAUUCUCCUGCCUCAGCAUCCCAAGUAGCUGGGACUACAGGCGCCCACCACCACACCCGGCUAAUUUUGUUUUUGUAUUUUUAGUAGAGACAGGGUUUCACCGUGUUAGCUAGGACGGUCUUGAUCUCCUGACCUCGUGAUCUGCCUGCCUCAGCGUCCCAAAGGGCUGGGAUUACAGGUGUGAGCCACCGCGACCAGCCAAUAUGAAUUAUCUUACAUAGCUUUACUAAACCCUUAGUCAAGUGCAAGGUAAACGUAAUGGCAAUAUAAUUGAUUCUAACAAGAAGGAACCAAACAAAAAAAUUUUUUUUAGAUAGAGUCUUGCUCUGUUGCCCAGGCUGGAGUGCAGUGGCAUAAUCACAGCUUACUGUGGCCACAAACUCCUGAGUUCAAGCCAUCGUCCCACCUCAACCUCUCAAGUAGCUGGGACCACAGGCACACACUACUACGCUUGGCUAAUUUUUAAAUUUUUUGUAGAGAGGGGGUGUCCCUACCUUGCCCAGGCUGGUUUUGAACUCCUGUGCUUAAGCAGUCCUCCCACCUUAACCUCCCAAAGUGUUGGGAUUACAGGCAUGAGCCACCACACUCAGCCAAAAACUUUUUUUGGGGGGGGGUAGGGGGGACGGGGUCUCCCUCUGUUGCCCAGACUGGAGUGCAGUGGCACAAUCUUGGAUCACUGCAGCCUCAAACUCCCUGAGCUCAAAUGAUCCUCUCACCUCAGCCUCCCAAGUAGCUGGGACUAAAGGCACAUGCCACUAUGCCUGGCUAAUUUUUGUAUUUUUUGUAGAGAUAGGGUCUGGCCAUUUUGCCCACACUGGUCUUGAACUCCUGGGCUCAGGUGAUCCACCCGCCUCAGCCUCCCAAAGUGCUAGGAUUACAGGCAUGGGCCACUGCGCUCAACCAAAAAUAAUUUUUUAAUUAUCAAGAACAUUUGAAAUAUAAAAUUAUAUCCUGUACUUUUUUGUUGUUGUUAAUUGAGACAGGGUCUUGCUCUGUGGCCCAGGCUGGAGUGCAGUGGUACAAUCAUAGCUCACUGCAGCCUCGAACUCCUGGGCUCCAAGGAUCCUCCUGCCUCAGCCUCUCAAGUAGCUGGGACUACAGGAAUGCACCACCAUGUCUAGCUAACUUUAAUUAUUUUGCUUUUGUAGAGACAGGAUCUGGCUAUGUUGACCAGCCUGGUUUCCAACUCCUGGCCUCAAGCAGUCCUCCUGCCUCAGCCUCCGAAAGUGUUGGGAUGAUAGGCAUGAGUCACUGUGCCUUCCAAUCCUCUUUUGUUUUGUUUUGUUUUGUUUUGUUGAGACAGGGUUUCACCAUGUUGCCCAGGCUGGUCUCGAACUCCUGGACUCAAGCAAUCCUCCCACCUCGGCCUCCCAAAGUACUAAGAUUACAGGCGUGAGCCACCAUUCCUAGCCAAUCCUCUGUUUUUAAUAGUGAACUCGCCCUGGUGAAUAAUAUAACUUAAGAUGUUAGCUAAUCAUAGUAGUGUGUUUGUAUAAUUUAAAACUAUACAUAUAUUAAGACUGCUCAAAAAGUAAUCACACUACAAAGGCUAAGCAAUCAAAAAAGCUUGGAGAAGACACACAAAUGACCAACAGUUGUAUGAAAAAUGCUCAGCAUCACUCAUCAUCAGCAAAAUGCAAAGCAAAACUACAGUGAGAUAUUGCACCCCAGUUACAAUGGCUAUUGUCAAAAAGACAAAAAAUAACAAAUCUUGGUGAGGAUACAGGGAAAGGGGAUAUACACUGUUGGUGAGAAUGUGAGUUAAUACAGCCAUGGAAAACCAUAUGAAAGUUCCUCAAAAAACUACAAAUCAAAACUACCUUUGAUCUAGCAAGCCCACUGCUAGUAUAUAUCCAAAAGAAAGAAGCAUAUCAAAGAGGUACUGUACUUAUAUGUUUAUUGGAGCACAAUUCACAACAGCCAAAAUAUCAACCCCAGUGCCUAUCAGCAAAUGAAUGGAUAAAGAAAAUAUGGUACAUAUACAUGAUGGACUAUUAUUCAGCCAUAAAAGAUGAAAUCCUGUCAUUUGCAGCAACAUGAGUUGACCUGGAGGACAUUAUGUGAAAUGAAAUAAGCCAGGCACAGAAAGACAAAUACCACGUGAUCUCUCUAAUAUGUGGGAAACUUAAAACAGUUGAUCUCAUGGAGUUAGAGAAAAGAAUGGUGGUUCCCAGCUGGGUGCAGUGGCUCGUGCCUGUAAUCCCAGCACUUUGGGAGGCUAAGGCGGGCGGAUCAGAAGGUCAGGAGAUCGAGACCAUCCUGGCUAACAUGGUGAAACCCUGCCUCUACUAAAAAUACAAAAAAUUAGCUGGGCGUGGUGGCGGGCGUCUGCAGUCCCAGCUACUCGGAAGGCUGAGGCAGGAGAAUGGCGUGAACCCGGGAGGUGGAGCUUGCAGUGAGUGGAGAUUGCACCACUGCACUCCAGCCUGGGCGACAGAGCGAGACUCUGUCUCAAAAAAAAAAAAAAAGAAUGGUGGUUCCCAGAAGCUAAGGAAGGGUAGAGGAAAGGAAAGGGAGGAUGAGGAGAGGUUAAUGGGUAUAAAAAUACAGUUAGAAUAAGUUCUAGCGUUUGCUAGUACAGUAGGAUGACUAUAGUUAAUAGUAGUUUACUGUAUAUUUCAAAAUAGCUAGAAGAUUUGAAAUGUGCCUAGCACAAAGAAAUGAUAAGUGUUUGAGGGGAUGGAUAUCCUAAUACUCUGAUUUAAUCGUUACACAUUAUAUGCAUCUAUCUAAAUAUCACGUGUGGCCUGUUAGCUUGGUUGGUUAGAGCAUGGUGCUGAUAACACUAAGGUCACAAGUUCAAUCCCCAUACAGACAAGUUCAAUCCCCAUACAGGCCAUGGGAUGAAACAUUUGGGGCUUCAUUUACCCGAAUGAAGAGCUUUUAAUUCAAGUGGUCCAAAUCACCCCUGCACUGAAUCCAAAAUUCAGACGUUCUCUUAUUGGCCAGACACUGUGGUUCACUCCUGUAAUUUCAGCACUUUGGGAGGCCGAGGCAGGCAGAUCACCUGAGGUCAGGAGUGUGAGACCAGCCUGGCCAACAUGGUGAAACCCUGUCUCUACUAAAAAUACAAAAAUUAGCUGGUAGAGAUCACACCAUUACACUCCAGCCUGGGCAACAGAGCGAAACUCUGUCUCUAAAUAAAUAAAUAAAUAACACAUGUACUCCAGAAAUAUGUAUAACUAUCAUGUAUCAAUAAAAAAUUAGUUUUUAACAAAGACUUGGAGGCUGGGCACAGUGGCUCAUGCCUGCAAUCUCAUCACUUUGGGAGGCUGAGACAGGAGAAUCGCUUGAGCCGAGGAGUUCGAGACCAGCCUAAGCAACAUAGUGAGACCUCAUCUCUACAGAAAAUUCAAAAAUUAGCUGGGUAUGGUGGUGUGUGCCUGCAGUCCCAGCUACUUGGGAGAGUGAGGCAGAAGUAUCUUGAGCCCAGGAGUUCGAGGCUGCAGAGAGCUUUGAUGGUGCCACUGCACUUCAGCCUGGGUGACACCCAGAUUCUGUCUCUGAAAAAGAAAAACAAAAAACCCACUGCUCUUCCUCUCCACCUGUCAUCCACAAGCCUCCCAGGUAGAUUCUCCAUCACCCAGAGGCAGGUGGGGAAUUCCUCCACCCUCACAGUCCACUGAGUCCGAGUGUGCUUCCUCACAGGACCUGAGUGAUUGCUGACCUAUCUCAUGUGGAGGGCCAUUCUUCCUUGAGACACUGUUUCUGUUUUCCUGAUUUUCCUGUAACCAUCCAAACCAAUCACUCUUUUUCCCUUUGUGGCCACUUUUCCUUACUUUAGCCGUGAGCCACUGCCUUGCAGAUGUAGCCUUUCCCUCUGCAUGGCUGAUUCUCAAAUCUUUGUCUCCAGGCUUGGACUCCCCCAUAUACCCCAGUCUCUGUCUGUCCAAAUGUUUACAAGAUUCCCACACGUUCCCCUAAGCUUAAUGUGUGUUAAACAACACCUCCUUUCCCACCCACCUUCCCUGUUUUCCUGGCCUGGUUGAAGAUCACUAUUUUCAGGACUGCUGAGGCAAGGACUCUGAGAUCACUCUCACCCUCCCUCUCUAAUUGACCAUCGUCAUCCAAGCUGUCACAGACACCUGUCAAUAUUGCCUUCCAGGGGUCCCCUAGACUUCACCGUUUCCUUUUUGUUCUUUUUGCCCCUACUCUGAGCCCUUGCCAGGUCACAUCCGCAUGGCUGCUACUUCCUUUCGUCUGGCUGCCUUCUCUCAAGCUGAAAUGAGCUCUUAUCUGCCGGUAGCCCAUUAGUCUCACAUUAUAUAUGUCACUCAGGCUCCCCCACAGAUGCCCUGUUCCCACUAGAAUAUUGGCUUCAUUGGGUCCCUGCCCUCCACACCUCUUCCAGGCUCCCUCUCUGUCCAGACUCUCACACCUCACACAUCCUCUUCCCUCCUCCCCAUGGGCUCGCUCCGUCACGCAGGCUGGAGUGCAGUGACACGAUCGUAGCUCACUGCAGCCUCAAACUCUCAGGCUCAAGUGAUCCUCCCACCUCAGCCUCCCAAGUAGCCAGGACUACAGGUGCACAUUACCAUGCCCAGCUAUUUUUAACUUUUUAGUUGAGAUGGAGUCUCACUGUGUUGCUCAAGCUGGUCUUGAACUCCUGGGCUCAGGCGAUCCUCCCACUUUGGCCUCCCAAAGUGCUGGGAUCACAGGCAUGCAUGAGCCACCGUGCCCAGCCUCCCACCUCCUCCUCUUUUGCGUGCUCUGCCAUCAGGCAAUCUGUGAUCCUGCUCCAUUCUAGCUCUGCCAUGUGUUAGUGCUUUGAUCUUAGACAAACUAACAGCUCCAAAACCUCAAUUUCUUUGUCCAUAAAAUUAUUACUACCUCGGCCAGGCACGGUGACUCAUGCCUGUAAUCCCAGCACUUUGGGAGGCCGAGGCGGGUGGAUCACUUGAGGUCAGGAGUACCAGACCAGCCUGCCCAACAUCGUGAAACCCCGUCUCUACUAAAAUACAAAAAUUAGCUGGACGUGAUGGUGGUCGCCUGUAAUCCCAGCUAGUCAGGAGGCUGAGGCAGGAGAAUCACUUGAACCCGGGAGGCAGAGGUUGCAGUGAGCCAAGAUCGUGCCAUUGCAUUCCAGCCUGGGCAGCAGAGCAAGACUCCAUCUCAGAAAAAAAAAAAAAUAUAUAUAUAUAUAUAUACACACACACACACACACAUAUGCACAUCAAUAUGUAUAUAUAUACAUAUGUGUAUAUAUAUACAUAUACGUAUAUGUAUAUAUGUAUAUAUAUAUACAUAUACAUAUGUAUAUAUGUAUAUAUGUAUAUAUAUAUACAUAUACGUAUAUGUAUAUAUACACGUAUAUAUAUAUAAAUAUACACACACACAUAUAUAUAUAUAUAUAUAUAACCUUAUUUUGGGUUUGUUGAAAGGAUGAAAAUGGCAUCAUGCAUGGAAGGUUAUUUAGCCCAGUACCUAGCACAAAGAUCUGAAUUGUGCCUCGUUUUAGGAUUAGCAAAACGUGAUUGGCAAAAUCAGAGUCUAUGGCAAACACCCAGUUGGGUGAGUGAGUCACAGGAAUAGGUGCUUAAUGUUUGUUGGCUUAACAACUUGCAAGCUCUAACAUAAUCUCCGUCCUCUGCUAACAUUAUCUGAUAGCUCAGAUGCUGAAACAUUUCAUUCUUCUUUAAACUCCGUGGCGUUUAUGCGCGUGAGCCGCCACACCUGGGCUGACUCUUUUUUGUAAUUCUUUCACAGAUGUUCCAUCUGUCUAACUAGUUUUCAAGUUCCUUGAGGACAAGGAUAAUGAUAUUAUUACAGCUGACAUUUCUUGAAUGUGGACUAUGAGCUAGCAUUUUCAAUUUAUAAACUCGCUUAACCCGCACCACAGCCUGAUGAGGGAGCUUGCUGUCGUCAUCCCUGAGUUAUGAAUCAGGAAGCAGAGGCCCAGGUUGCCAGCGUGUUACCCGAGGGCACAAGGUUAGCGAGCAGCAGCACUGAAGCACUGCAGCCCAGCCCAGCAGCAAGGUGUGUUGCCGUGUACUGCUUCCUAGGGUGCGGGACUGCACGCCCUCAGGUGAGUAGGAGAGAACUUACUCACUGAUUCCCUGACUGAUAGAAACCCUUACCUUUUGCAGCUACACCUGCUUUUCUAGCAGACGCCUGGGCUCCUGGACAUAUUGCUCUGAGGCUAUUUGACAGCACUCCUGCCAUCCUCCCGGCCCCCUAAGAUAAAACUUUCUUUAAAGAGCGUCCUAAAAACCAGAUUUACACACAAAAGCCAGGAUGACUCCUAGCAGAUGUUUUGCUACCUGAAGGUUGUUAUGUCAUGUAGAAAAUAAAGGAGGAAAGAAAGAAAAGGAGGAGGGGAGAGGGCAUGUGGGAGAAGGGGUGAGGACAGUGAACAGACCAGGGAGUACCAGAAAGACCAGCUCUUCCCAAACAGCUUCUGCCAUGAUGCUUGCUUCAUGCUAAAUGACCCACAAACUUCAUUCAUGUGUGGGUUUGCCCUUGUGCCUUCUUGGUCCCCCAAGCAGGGACAGAGUUCUGCUCGGAGAAGCUGGAAUGAACCGAAAGCCAGGGAAGGAGCUGGUGGAAACCCAAGCAGGCCUCCCUCAAGUGGCAUGAUCUCAGGAAAUGGAAAUAUUGUACAAAGAAGCAAGAUGCCUGGCGCCAACUUCCAUGCUGUGCUGAAUGACAGAUCCAAGAUGGUUGGCCAGAAUGCUCCACCCUGCAAUGGCAGACUAAACAGUGUUUUCAGUGCAGAUGGAACGUUCAUCAUAUGCUGGGCCAUGAAACUAGUCUCAAUAAAUCCAGCAGGAUUGAAAUCACAUACUGGGCUUCUCCAACAAAAUGCAAUUUAAUUAGAAAUCAGUAACUGAAACUGGAACUCUUCUACACUGCUGGUUUUGGUAUCAGGAUGACGCUGGCCUCAUAAAAUGAGUUGGAGAGGAGACCCUCCCCUCAAUUUUUGGAAUAGUUUCAGUAGGAAUGCUACCAGCUCUUCUUUAUACAUCUGGUAGAAUUCAGCUGUGAAUCCAUCUGGUCCUGGGCUUUUCUUGGUUGGUAGGCUUUUUAUUACUGCUUCAAUUUGAGAACUCAUUAUUAGUCUGUUCAGGGAUGCAAUUUCUUCCUAGUUCAAUCUUGGGAGGUGGUAUGUGUCCAGGAAUUUAUCCAUUUCUUCUAGAUUUUCUAGUUUGUGCGCAUAGGGUUUUUAUAUUUCUGUGUAGAUGGUGGUAAUUUCAUCUUUCUCAUUUCUAAUUGUGUAUAUUUGGUUCUUCUCUCUUUUUUCUUUUUUCUUCUUUUUUUUUUUUUCUGACAGAGUCUCACCCUGAGGCCCAGGCUGGAGUGCUGUGACGUGAUCUUGGCUCACUGCAACCUCUGCCUCCCGGAUUCAAGCAAUUCUCCUGCCUCAA